AGAUGCUCGAGUUUCCUCUCACAGUCCGGUAGGUCAACUGGUCAUUGUAAAUUGACUACCCGUGAUUAGGUAGGGUUAAAUCGGGGGAUUGCUGGGUGGUAUGACCCAAAGAGCCAGAAGGGCACACGCUGUAUCCCUCAAUGAAUAAAUUCUCCAACAGGACCUUACAAGAGUUCAAGAACUCCACAAUCCCCCAGUGCUUGUUAAGUGCUUUUUAAAUUGUUAAUUUUUAAAUCCACCUUUUUAAAUUGUGCUAUUCUAUCCACUUCCACCAGCCUAAGGAAGGCUUAGCAUUUGGAAAGGACUACCUGUUAGGCUGGUGGAAGUGGCUUCAACAAGACUGGAGAAGUAUGGAGAAGAACAGAAUACUGAAAAGAGAUUGUUAAAAGCCUUCACAAACUUGGAUGAAUGAAACAAUAGCUUUUCACACAGUUCCACGGGUGAGAUAAUCUAAGUACUUGGCUUUUUCGUAGAAUCUAUGUGUUGAAGACUUCAUUCCCUUGUUACAGGAUUUGUUUCAUUAAUAAUUAAGCCUGACUCGCUUUGCCAAGCAGCAGAACACUUAACUUGCUUGCAGUUAGCGAGUUCAUUGCGUCGAGGGAGCUAUACAUGUCCCCAUUUAAAGCACCUAUUAACUUGCAGUGCCUCAGUGAGAUUUCAAUUCAACGAUGUCACGGUAUUGAGCUUUCUGCUUGGCUCAAAUAAUAUCCGUGGGAGCUAGAUUCCUGCAAGGCACGGUAUGUGAAGGGAGGCUGAGAAGCAAGAGUACCAGAGAAGCAACGCUUAACUUAGCGGUGUUGAGAAAUGGAGGGAUCCCCAGAUUAACAUCCGGAGAUCCCUCAAAGUUGCUGCGCAAGAAGAGAGAGGCGUCUGGUGCAUUGGCCUUCACUAGUCAGGAGAACUGCGUUCAAGACCUUAAGCCGUCGGUCUGGGCUAAAUGAACCAGUGCCACGAUCACGAGUUUGCAAACCAGGGACCUGGGAGCAUCGGCGGCCAUCUCUUCAGACUUCCCCCCCCCACCCCCGAGAGCCGGGCAACUUUCGACGCAAUGACCCUCGCUGCCUCCAAACUCUGCGCGCUGCCGGAACGGCUGGAACGGGAGGUGAAUGACGCUGGUGGGCCUCGGCUGUUGUCAACAAGCACAGGAUCUGUGGAGAAGGAAACAGAUGGGCAGAUCAACACACAAAUGUGAGAAAGCAGAGGCAGGAAGACAACCUGGGUCCAGCAGGACCUUUCUAUUUACAGAGAGUGCACAUGGCUAUCCUACUAACCCUCCCAGCAUACCCUACGAGGAAACAAAGAGGGAUGGGGGAAUCAAAGUUCAAAGAAAGUUUAUUAUCAGAGUACAUAUAUGUCUCCACAUACAACCCUGAGAUUAAUUUUCCAGUGGGCAUACUCAGCAAAUCUAUAUAAUAGUAACUGUUACAGGACCAACCAGUGCAGAAGACAAAAAAAAUAUAAAUAAAGGCAAUAAAUAACGAGAACAGGAGCUGAAGAGUCUUUGAAAGCGAGUUCAUUGGUUGUGGGACCAUUUCAAAGAUGGAGCAAAUGAAGUUGAGUGAAGUUAUCCCCUCUCGUUCAAGAGCCUGAGGGUUGAGGGGUCGUAACUGCCCUUGAACCUGGUGGUGUGAGUCCUGAGGCCCUUGUACCUUCUACCUGAUGGCAGCAGUGAGAAGGGAGCAUGACUUGCAGGCUUCCGCCAGCACAGACGGCAACACAUUUCGCAUCGCAGGAAGUGCAAGAGUUAAGAGCAAAUCCUCGUCGUGCCUCUCCGCAGAUGUUGUGCCAAUUAGCUUUGAACGGCUUUUCAGCAGGCAUGUACUCUGCCAGGACUGCAAGUACGCAUCGAAUCCACAUCAAUCCUCCCGGCUCGCGGAGGGAAACAAUGCCGGCUUUUAGGAGGCACGAGGCAGACCAUACCGAGCAGAUCAGCAGCAAUAAAAUGCACGGGGCAAAAGAGAGACUUCCUUCCAAUCCUGGCGUCAAAGAGACUGGAGAAAGGCCGCACCCAGACAGCAACGCACACCUUAGCAAUGCCUACCCCUUCAAUACCCACCCUGCUGUCUUAUCAGUGCCAACCAGUUAAACCACUAUAGAGGAGGAAAGAUAGUGUUGUGAUCUUAUCUCCACAUCAGCCUUCUUUGGUGUGAGGUGCGGAGGAAGCUUAUCACACUGCCUCACAUGAAACCAAUCAGACCAGGAGACCAUUCAGCCUUCUGGGUCUAUACUGGCCCCCCAGCUGAGCAUAUCCUACCAGAUAUUUUCCUUUCUCAGGUCCCUGCACCCCUUAAACUUGUUCGCUCUUGCACAGAACAGCACCGACCCUUCAGAACAUGAUGGUAUACCAACAUUUUAACCUACUCCACGAUCGAGCUAACCCUUCUUGCCCAAACAGCUUAUCCAGGAGUCUCCUAAAUGUUUUAGCUUCAUUUAUCACACGUACAUCAAAACAUACACUGAAAUGCACUGAAACACAGUCCGAGGAUGUGCCAGGGGCGGCAGCCCGCUUCCGGCACCAACAGAACACGCCCAUGACUCAGUGACCCCAACAGACAAGUCUUCCGAAUGUGGGAGGAAACCACGUGGUCACGAGGAAAACCUGCAAACUCCUCACAGACAGUGACCGAAACCAAACCAUGACCGCUGAUCAUUGGCACUGGAAAGCACUACGCCAACUGCCGUGCCACUGUGCCGCCCAAUGUAUCUACCGCUAUCACCACCCCUGGCAGCGCGGGCAUUCGUUUUGUUCCUUGUCGUAUGACGUGGGCAAUCACGGUCUUUCCGUGACCAUGACUGUUCUUGGCACGGGAGCAGUUUGUCAUUGCCUUCCUCUGGGCAGUGUCUUUACCAGACGGGUGAUCCCAGCCAUUAUCAAUACUCUUCAGAGAUUGUCUGCCUGGCGUCAGUGGUUGCACAGCUAGCACCAUCCGCCACCCGCUCCCACGGAUUCACGUGACCCUGAUUGGGGUCUAAGCAGGUACUACUUACAGGCUAGUGGAAGGAGGGAGCGCCUUACCCCUCAUUUGGUAGAGGCACAUCUCCACUCCGUCAACCAGGACAUGUCCAUCAAACACCCACCCACUGACCAGUGCCUCCCUUUGUCACUCCCCUCUACUACAGGGUACCGUACUGUGGCCAGUUAGCCCAGCAGCCCCACCAUCAUGGUGAGAAAUAAAACUGGAACAGAAGAGGGAUUCCUAUCCCCAUCCCAACGAAAACAAGCGAACUCCACACAGACAGCACUGGAGGUUGAUUUUGAGCCGGUGUCCCUGAAGCCGAAAAACAGCUUCAAUAACCACCCUCGUGACUAUGUCAUUUUGUCGUCAAAGGAAAAAGGUUACUUCAGACUGACAUCGCACCAGCUGAUACUCAGAGGUCAUGAAGUACAGCUUUUCCCACCACUCUCCCUACACUUGCCCCUUUAUGACCUCCUAGUGGCCUUCACAGACGCGACGAUCUCAACGUAUACAUGGGCACGCGUGUGGCCCACCUGUCUCAAGUCUCUCCACAGGACUCAACUGGGCCCUUCACCCCACAACGUGCUGAACAUGAAUUCAAAUGAGACCAAACCUCUUCUGUUUGCACAUAACCCACAUCACCCUCCCCCCCCCGCACACUCUCACAGCCUCUUAAACACCACUCUCAUACCUGCACCCGCCAAUGUCCCUGGCAGCCCAUUCCAGCACCCACCCUUCCGAUAAUAAAACUUGCCCAGCAAAUCUCCUUUAAACUUUUUUCGUCUAGACCUUAACAAUUCUACCCUGGGAAAUAGUCUACCAUAUCAAUGCCUCUCAAUCUUACAAACUGCUAUCAGGUCUUCGCUCAGCCUCUGAUACUCUAGACCAGCGUUCCCCGCCUUUUUCUUUUAAAUGCCAUGGACCCCUACCAUUAACAAACGGUUCCAAACGGUUCCAUGAACUCCAGGUUAGGAGCUCCUGCUCUAGCCAAGUUUGUCCAGCCUCUCCUCGUAGCUCAUUCCCUCUAACAGAACAUAGAAAUUCACAGCACAUUACAGGCCCUUCAGCCCACAUUGUUAUGCUGGCCAUGUAACCUACUCCAGAAACUGCCUGGAAUUUCCCUACUGAAUAGCUCUCUAUUUCUCUAAGCUCCAUGUACCUAUCUCUUAAAAGACCCUAUUGUAUCCACCUCUACCACAUUGCAUUCCACGCACCCACCACUCUUUUUGAAAAAAGAUUACCUCUGACAUCCCCCUUGUACUUACUUCAAAGCACCUUAAAACUAUGCCCCCUAUUGUUAUCUGGAUAGUAACCUCUACCGCACCCUUUACGAAAAGCCCCCACAUCCUUCCUAGAAGGGGCGACCAGAAUUGUGCAUGAUAAAGGUUCAGUUCUUACCUCACCCUCAGCAGGGCUUCACAAUGGGUCUUCAGCUGCCCCACUGCCCAGAUGCCCUCAAAAACACUUCCUUUGGUCUCCAAACGCCCCAGACCGAACCCAAAUCAGUGACACAGGCAGAGCAAGACGAGGGGUCCUGGUUAACACACAGGCAGUAGAGGCUCUGCAGGCAAGACCGCAUAUCUAGUCUGUCUCAAGUCCCAACUGAGCAAUCUAACAUGAAUCCGCAGCAGUGAGAUCACUCCUAUUAAAACACUCACCCUUUACAUUACUAGGAGCAGCUCCCCAAGGAGCCUGUCCCCCUUGUGGGCAUGACAUACUGGAGAUAAAUUAGAUCAUGGCCUGUCCCCACUUACAUCAUCUCUGCUGUUUCCUUGGAGCUCCGCACCAUAUCACAACGCCACAUUGUCAGGAGAGUGAGAAAAGGAUAAAUGUGAUUUCCCGGGCGAGCUUCUCACCACCUCUGCUGGCCAACCGGCGCUUGCAGGAAAUUUGCGCUCCCCUCCGAUCCCUCCCAAAUGACCAAACUAUCUGGGAGCCCCUCCACUCCUCCCCCCCCCCCCACCCCUGGGACGCAGGUAUCGGUCUCAAUCACACAACGCGGGCUCGAGUAUUACGUCCCUCGCCAGAACCUGAGGGAAGAAAUCUAUCCCCAAGUCUGCAGUGGAGUCACAGUGGCCAGUCUCAUAGUUUACAGGCACAGCAAGUGAGCUAGGGCCUUUCUCCUUUGAGUGAAGGAGAACGAGUGGCGACUUGAUAGAGAUGUAUAAGAUAAGAGGCACAGAUAGAAUUAACAGACGGUACCUUUUCCCCGCAACCCCCCAAAAAGAAACAGCCAAUAUGAUAGGGCAUAAUUUUAAGGCAAUUGGAGGAUAGUGGGGAAGACAGAGUGUAUAUAUUUUUAAGACACACAGAGGUGGUGGCUGUUAUACUAAUGGCAUUUAAAAAAUCUCUGCAAUCACUCAUGGAUGAGAGAAAAAUGGAGGGCUACGUGGGGGGGGGGGGGGGAGUUAGACUGAUCUUAAGAGUAGGUUAAAAGUCAGCACACAUCAUAGCCAGAAGGCCUGUGCUGUUAUGUUCUAUAUUCUAGUUUUGGCCUUUCCCCACAGCUAAAAUUUUCUCUGACCACUGCAGUGAAAUGGAAAUUCUUGUUUAUGUUUUUUUUUGUAAAAAGUUGUGUUUAUGUUUUUUUCCUGGUGAAUGGUGCUUAUUGGAUGCUGCUGCAAGUAAGCUUUUCAUUGUAACUGUGUGUACACGUGCAUUAAAAAUAAAUCUGACCUAAUUCCACAAGAAUUGCUCACUUCUAACUUUUAUAGCGCCACAUCCUUAGUGGUCCAGGCUACGUAUACUCAGCGGCCAUUUUAUUAGGUACAUCUGCUUGUUACUGAAAACAUCUAAUCAGCCAAUCAUAAUAGCAGCAUCUCAAUGUAUAAAAGUCAAGCAUCAGAAUGGGGAAGAAAUGUGAUCCAAGUGACUUUGAUUGUUGGUGCCGGACAGGAUGGUUUGAGAAUCUCAGAAUCUGCUGAUCUCCUGGGACUUUCUGCACAAUAAUCUCUAAAAUUUGCAAGGAAUGAUGCAAACAAAACAGUCUAGUGAGUGGCUGUUCUGUUGGUGAAAAUACCUCAUUAAUGAAAGAGGUCAGAGGAGAAUGGUCCGACUGACAGGAAGGCGAUAGUAACUCAAAUAACUGCGUGUUGGAACAGUGGCGUGCAGAAAAGCAUCUCUGAACAUACAACCUGUUGACGUUGAAGUGGAUGGGCUACAGCAGCAGAAGACCAUGAACAUACAACCAGUGGCCACUUUAUUAUGUACAGGAAGCCCUGCUCUGUUAAACCUCACUAAGGGUAGAGGCUUCUGAAACUGGCUGCUGGGGGGAAAGUCUGCUCAAUGCAAGACAGCUGGUGGUUCGCACCUUAACUCGGAGAACUCUUAAAGCUAGCGAACAAUGAACAUGAUGUAAUUGGGGACAAGCCAUGAUCUAAUGCAUCGUCACCGCAUCAAGGUGACAGGGAGAUGAGACUCCAUGGGGAUCUGCUUUGCAUUAUACAAAGUGUCGGCGGUUUAAUGAGACAAGGGAUCUCUAAACAAUAUGCACGUGCACACACAAACACACACACAAUUACGGGUUCAAUUCUGCCACUUUAUGUAAAGAAUUAGCACAUUCUCUCCAUAACCCCAUGAGUUUCCUCAGUGUGCUCUUGUUCCCUUCCACAUUCCAAAGACAUCAGCAUUAAUUGGUCACAUGGGUGUGAUUGAACAGCAUGGCUCAUUGGACCAGAAAGCCUGCUACCACGCCGUAUCCCUAAAUAGAUAAAUAAAGUCAGGAUAGUGCAAAAAGAAACAUCGACCAUGCUCUCUUCUCGCUGCUACCACUAGGGAGAAGGUACAGGAGCCUUGGGUCCUGCACCACCAGGUUCAAGAACAGUUAUUACCCCUCAACCAUCAAGGCCCUGAACCAGCAUGGAUAACUUCACUCACCUCAGCAAUGAACUGAUUCCACAACCUCUACCUUUAAAGCCUCUACAAAUCAUGUCCUCAACAUAGUUUAUUACUUGUUAACAAGGGUCCUCCAUCUCUGGCAGUGUUCAGGGCUUCCUUCAUCAUCUCAGUAGCUUCCUCUUGGUUUUCACUACUGCCAGUCCUACAAGUCCUGAGCUGAAACUCAAGAAUACCAUCGCACUCAAAGGCAGAAAGAUUCCUCUUUGCUGUUUCCGUAACAAUUUUGUUUAACCUGUCAAAGUGGUUAGCCCAGAGCUGAACCCCCAAACCUGGAGGACCAGUGGACCUCUCUUAGUCUGGCCUCUCCCCUUUGACCUGUUUGGCAUUAGUGACCCUACCAAGAGCCAAAGCACAACGUAGCUCUCCUGCUCCUUGAGGCAUGGAAGCCUCCAAACCCUACGACAAGGUUGUGGUCCCCUUGCAGGAUAUGUAUGUGCAGGGUUUGAUAAUCUAGUUGGAGGUUAGGUUUAUUAUUUAUUUAUUAUUUGUCUUCUUUGUCAGUCUUCGUAUGUAAUUUUUCAUUAAUUCUAUUGUAUUUCUUUGUUCUACUAUGAAUGUGUGCAAGAAAGUGACUAUCCAGAGUAUGGUGGCAUACACAUACGUACUUCGAUAAUAAAUUUAUCUGAACUUUGAAACAGGCAAACAGGCAAGUCUGAAGCCUCACACGGCUAAGCAGCUCAUAGGACCCAUUCCCUCAAGUUCAAUGCUGAAGAAGAGACAGUGCAUCCAAGAGCUGGGUAACUGUUGUGCUCGUGUGUCACAGCUUAGGGAGGUGGCGGGGGCAAGACAAGCUGAUUCGUAAACACACAAGACUCUGCAGAUGCUGAAAAGCACAUAAAAUUCUGCAGGAGCUCAGCAAGGCAGGCAGCAUCCACGAUGGGGAAUAGAUGGUCACUUCUUCUCCACAAAUUUGCCUGACCUGCUUAGCACCACCAGCAUUUUGAGUGUGUUGCUAAAGGCAGGCAGAAUGGUAGCUACCGUUUAAACUUGGCACCAUACUCGGGGCCCAAACACAAGUCGCCUGCCAGCUCAGAGUUGCAGGUUUCAAUGCACCCACAUAGUCCUCGUAAGUGCUAAUGUGGUCUAAUGCUUUUCAUUAAUGUUAUACAUUGUCUGAAUCUACGUGCCCAUGAUACUAAAUACGGGAGAUUCUGCAUCGGUUGGCAACCGUGCCUUUUCUUCAGCAUUUGUCUUUGACGAGGCCAAGUUGAUAGCCCGACACUCAAUCCAGCACAGAUGUAAAGAUUGCAAGGAGCUGGCCGGAUCUGAACCUAGAACCAUUCACCUCAAAGUCUGGAACUGAUGCCACUACACUGCCAGCCGGCCAGUGAACUCCAGACUAAUUCAGAUUAAAUGCCGGAGGAACUCAGUAGGUCAGGCAGUGUCCACGGAAAGGAAUAAGCAGUCGGCAUUUUGUGCUGAGAUCCUUCAUCAGAACUGCGUGUGCUUGCGAUACUGCAAGCUAUGAGGUUUUCAUUAUACCUGUACUUCACUGUACUUGGGCAAACGGUAACCUCAACUUGAGGUGACCAGCACAUUUUAGGCCUUUCGGCCCACAACACUGUGCUGACCUUUUAACCUACUCCAAGAUCAUUCUAACUCUCCCCUCCCACAAAAACCCCUCCUUUUUCUUUCAUCCAUAUGCCUAUGAAUCUCUCCAAUAACCCUAAUGUAUCUGCCUCUAGUAAUAAUAAAUUCACAUCGCACCCUUCAUACAUUAAGAUGCAGGCUCAAAGUGCUUUACACAGAUUGUAAAGACAUAUCAAUAGUCAUAAAAAUACGAGACAAAUUGAAAACCAUAAAGUCAGACAUUACAGUAUAUAGAACAAAAUGUAAUCAAUAUAUCAAACAUCAUUAAGCAUUAUAUAAUCCUAUAAAUAGGCCAAGUUUAAAGUAGAUUUUUUUUUGGAGAAGUGUUUUAAAACAUUCCACUGCACUAUCUCAGUAGAGUAUCCAGAUUUUUGGUACACAAGAGCAAAAGGCCACAUCACCGGUUCUUAAAUCUUUGGCUCCAGGAACGCCAAUCAAACCAGUAUUCACAGAUUACAUUACAAUCAGGGAUCUAUCAUCAGCCCUGGCAGAGCGUUCCACACACCCACCAUUCAUUGUGUUAAAAAACCCAUCCCCCCGAUACUUUCUUCCAAUCAUCUUAAAAUUACAUCUUCCAUUUCCAGCCUAAGAAAAAUGUCCCGGCUGUCCAUUCUAUGCCUCUUACUAUGUUAAGCAUCUUUAUGAAACCAGCUCUCAUCCUCCUUCACUUCGAAGAAAAACAGAAUUCCCUCGCUCCACCUUUCGUCUUAAGACAUGCUCUUGAAUCCAGGUAAAUCUCUUCUGCACCCUCUCUAAACCUUCCACACCUUUCCUAUGAGGCGACCAGAACUGAACACAAUACUCCAGGUGUGAUCUAACCAGAAUUUUAUAGAGCUACAACAUUACCUCGUGGCUCUUGAACUCAUUCCCCCGACUAAUGAAAGCCAACAUAUCACAUGCCUUCUCAACCACCUUAUCAACUUGCUUGAGUUACGUGUUUCGCUGGGACGACAUUGCUGCCAUGACAGGAGGCUGCGUAGGAAAUGUAGAUACCUGGACCUCCCCCACCACCAGCGACAGUGGAUCAGAGUGGGACAUGGCCCACCCAGUGCUCACUAACCCCACAGGACAGCUGGAAAGUUCUGGAGCAGAAGCACAUUGAUGUCAUGAGGGAAACCAGGUGAAAAGCAAUCUGAAAGACUGGAAUCCAAGCACGGUUCUAAUUAUUCCACAAGUGUUGAAGUUACACACUGAAUUCGAAGCGUGAAGGUUCAUUAUUACCCUUGCCUUCCUGUUUGUACCUGCAUUUGGCACACAUUUAGAGAACUUGUCUGGAGCACAUCCAAUUCACACUGCCGCGUACAAUAGAGAACAGAAGCUUUUUGAAAACACAGCCUAUAGGAUACAAAAACAACUCCUCAGAACUGGGUUUGGUCUAAACAUUACUUUCCAAAAUUGUUUUUGCUGUCAAGGUUGAAUAGACUCACACACUACAGAAGGCCAUCAUGACUCAGCCAGAACUUUGUGUUUCUUCAGCCCCUUCCCUUUCUUCAAGUUAGUACUGAAUAACCUCUUCUGGCAGGGUCUUCCAGAUCAUAUCACGCUGAAUCAUGUUCAAAAUACCUUGCUCUCUCCUCCAGUUCUCUUUGCACUAGCUUUUAAAAAUCAGUUAUUUUGUGUGUGUGGCCAAUCUUAUUAAGUUUCCAACUAGUGGUGACCUCCAGAUGCUGAUGGUGGAGACAAACAGAUCAAGAGGUCACGUUUACUGUAAGCACAUUCAAUCUAUUCAAGAUGACCAAUAUGGCAGUCAAAGAGAUAGAAGGGCAGAGACAGAGUAUUGACAACAGAAGCUGUCCAUGAAUCUUGAAACUGGGCUUUGGUGACCAAGUUCCUGGAGAGAAAACCUUCCACAACUAGGCUUCAAGAGUAGGCCGACUGAAGUUUGCAUAGAUUCAGCGGUCACCUGAAUGUCUGUGGAUGUACAGUGGAAAUCAUCCCGGCUGGCUGCUUCACGCCCUGGUAUGCAGACACCAAUGCCCGGGAAUGGAAAAGCCUACAGAAAGGUGGAUACAGCCCAGUCCAUCACAGGCAAAGCCAUCUGAGAACAUUUACAAGGAAUGCUGCCACAAGAAAGUGGCCUCUAUCAUCAAGGACCUCCCUAUCCAGGCCACAUUCUCUUCUCACUACUACCAUCGGGCAGGAGGUACAGGUCUCUUUAAGUCCCUCAGCAUCGGGUUCAGGCAGUUAUUACCCCUCAACCAUCAGGCUCCUGAACUGGCAUGGGUAACUUCACUCACCACAACUCUGAACUGACUCCAAAAUCAACAGACUGACUUCAAGGACUCCACUAUUCAUGUUCUCAAUAUUAUUUAUUUUUAUUCACUCAAAUUCUGUCUUCCUUUGCUCUUUGGUUGUUUAUAAUGUUCUGGGUGUUUUUUUUUUACAGAUUCCAUUGUAUUUCAUUAUUUUCCUUAAAUGCCCACAAGAAAAUGAAUCUUCAGUCAUGUAUAUAUAUGUAUUUUGAUAAUUAAUGUACUCUUUGACUUUUAUUGGGGAGCAAAAAGUCAGACUAGAUUUCAACAGGUUUUUGUGAACAGGACAUGCUUGAGCAGUUUUUUUAAAAAUAAAUGUACCAGUUUACCAGCUUAGCAAGGAGAACAGCUAAUAAUUGACAGCAAGUUUACUGGAUCAACCUAAUAGGAUUAUGCCAAGCCAGCAGUUACUCUCUACCCGAGCAAUACCGCCUGUGAGUGUGUGGAAGGAAAUCUGACGAGAGUAAUGGAUCAGCCACUUCUGCCGAGUAGCGAGAGGGCAGCAGCUCACGCAGCCUCCUGUGACCUUGUCUACCUUGUCUAGGGAGACAGACAGACAGAUGGGGGGG